CCAAUAGCGUAUAUUAAAGUUGUUGCAGUUAAAAAGCUCGUAGUUGGAUUUCGGGGUGGCCUGGCUGGUCCGCCGCAAGGUGAGUACUGGUCAGCCGCCCUUCCUCUCGAAAGCCCCGACUGCUCUUUACUGCAGUGGUCGGGUAGUUCGGGACGUUUACUUUGAAAAAAUUAGAGUGUUCAAGGCAGGCUAUCGCCUGAAUACAUUAGCAUGGAAUAAUGGAAGAGGACCUCGGUCCUAUUUUGUUGGUUUCUAGGGCCGAAGUAAUGAUUAAGAGGGACAGUUGGGGGCAUUCGUAUUUAAUUGUCAGAGGUGAAAUUCUUGGAUUUAUGAAAGACGAACUAGUGCGAAAGCAUUUGCCAAGGAUGUUUUCAUUAA
rnacentral:rRNA from 1 species